rnacentral:lncRNA from 1 species
ACCCGCCAGCCCCGCGCUCUACCAGGCAGAGCGCGUGUGGCCGCCGAGCACAUGGACCCACUGGUCAAGCGGGCUCGGCAAGGCCAGGAUGAAGAGAAGCUACGAACUUAGCAUUCCCAGAGCCCCCCGAGUGGAUAUCCGCGUGGAAAGGAUGUUGGCAGCCCCGGUGACCUCGGAGUCACGGCUGGAUCCACCCUCUUUAUACCCUUUAAGCGUUCCAGAAGGAUUUUGAGAUCCUUUCCUAAAUCAAAGGUGGAAUAUUUGGGGAUUUGGAAAAUUGAGAUGUGAAGCGUUGACUUAAGAGAUGCCAAGUAACUCAGCAGAUGUCACACAGACGAUAAAUAGCAAAGAUGGAAGUCUUCAUGCCGGAGGCAAUCCUAUAAGACAGCUGAGUUCUGCAGAGCUGGUAGGAGACAGACUUGCUCAGGUGAUAGAUCCAGCCAUGAUACUGACCCUAAGAGAAUGAGACGCUCUGCAGAAGACAGAAGAUUCCUGAAACUGGGAAAGGUGCCUAGAAAUCCUGAUAAGAGUGAAGAAGGAGCUGGCAGAGCAGCCUUCCUCCGCACUAUGAAAGACAUCCAACAGAGAGCAAGUUCCCACCUCACUUCCAGCUUGACUCCUUUUUAUCUCCUAACUGUGGUCUGUGAUGUCUUCAGCAAUGGGUACCUGGAGGCACAGCAGCCAUGUUGAACCUAUGAGGUGAUGAAAAACCAUGCAACUAGAAACCAGAAUGGAAGAAAAGAAGAAGCUGGAUCCUUGACUGAAUUGUCGAUGGGGGAUAGUCCAUCAUCCCAGGGCUAAGACCACCUCCAGAUUUCUUGUUUGGUGAAACAAGUCCUGAUUGUUUACAUUCCCUCGUGUUGAGCUGUCUCUUGCUUGUAGCUGAAAGCAUUUCUAAUAGAUAUUCAGAUUAUCAGCCUUAGCUCCAAGCUAGAAUACUCUAUGGGACCUUAGCUUCUCCAUGAAUUCCUUUGCUCAUCUGUGUAAUGCUCAAUAAAUGUAAAUUGAACCCUGAAUGAGGGACAAUGACACUA